GCACAUAAUUAUGUGUAAUCACUAUGUAUCAAUUUAAAAAAUAUGUACAAAAACUUUUUUAACUCCAAUGAGAAAAAAUUGAAUGUUAAAGACAUAGCAGUUGGCUUAAUUUCAUUCUUUUUUUACUUUUUAAGGUUUGGGCUCUUUGUAUAUCCUAAAUUUCAGCCAUCUUGGGAUCAUAACACUGGCCCCACUCUGUUCCAAAAUUUCAGGGUUUGGGGAAGUGCAGGUGGUGUUCAGAUUUUCAGAAGUAGCAAUCUUCACCUGAAAAACUUCCAAGUUUAUUCAUGCAGAGAUUUUGGAAUUGACAUCUUGGAAAGUGAUGCAAAUACUUCAGUUACUGACAGCUUAUUACUUGGUCAUUUUUCCCAUGAGGUAAGUGCCUUAGUGUGGUUGUUUUAAGCUAUUCAUCAAAACAGAAUCAUGAGUACUGGGAUCCCUGAGGAUACAGAAUAUGUAAUUUUAAUAACUUAUUUUAGUGAAUCUUGUAUUGGUAAAAGCCAAAGGAGCUUUUUAUUUGUAAC
rnacentral:lncRNA from 1 species